GGAGGUCGGCUUUGGACGGAUACCUUGCCAACCCGGUCAGGUCCGGAAGGAAGCAGCCGCAGUGAGUUUUAUCCGGGUUGAAUGUCCGGCCUCCUACC
rnacentral:SRP_RNA from 1 species